UUUCCGUAGGUGAACCUGCGGAAGGAUCAUUACAGAGUUCAUGCCCUUCGGGGUAGAUCUCCACCCGUGUAAACAUACCUUUGUUGCUUUGGCAGGCCGCCGGGGCUCGCCCCGCUGCCGGCUCGCGCUGGCAAGCGCCUGCCAGAGGACCCCAAAACCUGAAUGUCAGUGUCGUCUGAGUAUCAUAUAAUAAGUUAAAACUUUCAACAACGGAUCUCUUGGUUCUGGCAUCGAUGAAGAACGCAGC
rnacentral:misc_RNA from 1 species